rnacentral:piRNA from 1 species
UGUCAUCUGCAUAACGGAGGUUGCUGA